AGUAGCGGACGGGUGAGUAAUGCAUGAGAAGCUGCCAUUGGGAGGGGGACAACAGUUGGAAACGGCUGCCAAUACCCCGUAUGCCGGAAGGUAAAAGGGAGCGAUCCGCCUGAUGAGGUGCUCAUGUCCUAUCAGCUGGUUGGUGGGGUAACGGCCUACCAAGGCGACGACGGGUAGCCGGCCUGAGAGGGUGAACGGCCACACUGGAACUGAGAUACGGUCCAGACUCCUACGGGAGGCAGCAGUGGGGAAUAUUGGGCAAUGGGGGCAACCCUGACCCAGCGACGCCGCGUGAGGGAAGACGGCCUUCGGGUUGUAAACCUCUUUUGUACGGGAAGAAGGAAGUGACGGUACUGUACGAAUAAGUCCCGGCUAACUACGUGCCAGCAGCCGCGGUAAUACGUAGGGGACGAGCGUUGUCCGGAAUUACUGGGCGUAAAGGGCGCGCAGGCUGUGCUGCAAGUCAGCUGUGAAAUGUCUGGGCUUAACCCGGGCAUGCGGUUGAGACUGCAGUGCUGGAGUGCUGUAGAGGCAAG
rnacentral:rRNA from 1 species